GGCUUAUUGAAAAUAAUUUUAGGUCUAGCCUGCUCAAUGAUUAGUUUUAAAUAGCCGCGGUAUUUUGACCGUGCAAAGGUAGCAUAAUCAUUAGUUUUUUAAUUGAAAGCUUGAAUGAAUGGCUUGAUGAAAAAAUAACUGUCUCUAUUUAAUUUUCAUAGAAUUUUAUUUUUAAGUGAAAAAGCUUAGAUAAAUAUAGAAGACGAGAAGACCCUUUAGAGUUUUAUAAUUGUUGUUAUAUAUAUAGUUAGGUAGAAUGUGUAAAUAAUGAUGAUUAUUUAGUUGGGGUGAUUGAAAAAUUUACAUAACUUUUUUUUUAUUAGACCAAUUAUUUUUGAGUUAUUGAUCCUUUGUUUAAGAUUAUAAGAUAAAAUUACCUUAGGGAUAACAGCGUAAUUUCCUUUAGAGUUCAUAUCAAAAGGGAAGGUUGCGACCUCGAUGUUGGAUUAAAAUAAAUUAUUGGUGAAGAAGCUAAUAAAUUAGGUCUGUUCGACCUUUAAAAUUUUACAUGAUCUGAGUUUAAACCGGUGUAAG
rnacentral:rRNA from 1 species